AAUUAAUCGAGACUCAAGCAACUGGCAUAAAUCUAAGACGUCGUUCUUUAAAUAGAACACUGAAACCGUGUUAAGUUUGUCUUUAAUUGUCUUUAUUUGUUUUCAAUUUCUGUAUUUCAGUAUGAAUAUCAAAAGUGACUUGAGAACAUACUUCUGGUGUGAGAGAAUUGGCUGUCUACAGAGAAGUUGCCCAGGGGACAUCUGGAUAUGUUACCAUUCUGCUGGGAGGCUUCUCUGAUGUCCCCACAAGCUAAAUCCGAAAGACGGAAGCUCACCCCACCUCGUGGAUUUGAACCAGCAACCUUCAGGUUGGCAGAUGUAACCUACUGCUGCUCAGCUAUAUUCUAUCUCAAUUGGAGAAUGGACAAAUCUGCCCAAGGAAGACCAAGAAAUCUCCAAGUUAAAGACAAUAGUAAGUCAAUGACCUAGGCUACAUCUCUCUUGCAAAAUCAUAGUGCAAAGAUUUUCCAACAAUUGCAGAAAUAUGCAAAGUAUUACUAAUUCCAUCCAUAUGACAUAAACGAAGGAUGGGAAUCACACAGUCAUCCUGAAGCUUUGAACUGCAACUCCCAGCAUCCACAACCAUCAGAGUCAAUGGUGAGGAAAGGUGGAUGCUGCAAUUCAACUAUAACUGGAGGAUUGCAUAGACACUAUCUUUUGGACUACUGUUCCCAGAAUUCCCCAGCAACAUGGACAAUGAGUGUAAUGUUUGAGUAAAUUCUUGGAGUUUUGAUUUAGAAAUUUUCCUGAGCCCUGAAUUGGGUGUAAGACCAGUAAAAAUGGGCACUUAAAAGAGACUUAAGAUGUGCUUUAUGUUUAGAGCCUUUUUAAAAAAAAAUUGCUUGUUCUAUCACAUUAUAAGUUCAAAAGGGUGACUGUGUGACAAGAUCAUAUAGCCGAGUCUCCUUUUUAUUUUUAAAGAUAUACUUGUGUUUUAAGUGGCAAUUAUAAACAGUUCACAUGGGUGUAUUUGUAAUGAAGGUAGGGUUUUUAUGCCACUUCCAUAGUAGUUGCACACAAUUGUGUGCUGGAUUCAAGGUGCUGCAGCUGAGAAAAUGUUGGUUUGGGUUGGAUGGUGAACUGUUCUGGUUUCAUUUUGCAGUUAUGUACCAAAACAAGACCAGUAGCUGAAAAAAAUUCUACCUCUACUGUUAUCAGACCACCAAAUUGUGAAUUAUUAUCUAUGGCUCCACUGAGAUAUGCAGCCAGCACACAUUGGAUUUUUCAUUGCCGGCUAGUAACCUUUCAUUAAUAUCCUUGGAAUAUUGCGCCACAACACCUAGGAUAACCCCACAAUUACCAUAGUCCCUUAACAAUGCCCCCAAACACCUAACAAUAGAACCAAACCAGAGGUCACAGAAAUUGCCCAACAUCCACCUUUAUCCUCCUCCUGGGAAUCCAUUCAGAUUGGCUAACGCCCAUUGCUAUUCUGUUUCAACAGAAUGGACCAUUGUCCAUCCCCCGCACCUAGGCUGGGGAAACGUCUGUCAUUAGCAUCCAUUACCUCAAAUCUACUCACAUUUUUUCCUUUACACACCCCAUGAGAGGUGGAACUAGCAAAGGUCACAAAACCUCAAACUGAGCAAUGACAAUUUAUUAAAUUUCCCUCCAAACCCAGAGACCAAUUGACAAUAUUGACAGACAGCAUAUCCCGACCAAUCAGCUUGCAGAGCCUAGGCUGCUACAGUCUGGACCAAACAGUACUCAGGGCAGCAGAUGUCUUUUGUUUCAAAUUGCUGUCAAAAUGCUAUAAAUAUUUCUUCAUGUUCGCAUUAGUAUGUUAGUUCUUUGGAGGGCUAUCUCCGCUGACAUCCUCUCUAACCAUUGAGAAAAAAAGCCUCUGAUUUUGCAUUCAGCCCAUCUGUAUCUUAUCUGGUCCUUUGGAAGCUUACCGUGUUUCCCCGAAAAUAAGACAGUGUCUUAUAUUAAUUUUUGCUCCUAAAGAUGUGCUAGGUCUUAUUUUCAGGGGAUGUCUUAUUUUUACAUGAAGAAGAAUUCACAUUUAUUGUUGAACAAGAAAUGAACAUUUAUUAUAUACUGUACAGUAGUUGUCAUCACAAACCAACAUAACCAGACAAACUGUGAAUGCUAUCAAAAAUUUCCUGUUACUACCAUUAUUUUCAUGUACAACUGGUAUGGAUAUUUACCAAUCCUGCAUGCUCUGGUGUUUUGUUUGGCAGGCACUGGAGAUGCUUCCGAACAACCUUUGCUAGGUCUUACUUUCAGGGGAGGCCUUAUAUUUAGCAAUUCAGCAAAACUUCUACUAGGUCUUAUUUUUCGGGGAUGUCUUAUUUUCGGGGAAACAGGGUAGCACUCCAAGUCCUGGUCCCACAGUUUUAGUUGAGCUGAAAUCAGAUAACAGAUCAUGCAUAUCCUUCAAGACAUUUCGACCAGGAACAUCGCAAAUGCAACACUGAUCACUUUUCAAUCUGCUUUUAACCCCAUGCGAUAAGUGAAGGGAGGGAGGCAGAUGCUUUUAGUAGCUAUGCUCAUACAAACAUUUAAACAUUGAAGUCCUUUCCAUCAGCUUGCUUCUAUUAUUGAAAAAAAAAUCUACUAUGCUUUUGUAAGGGGAGCCCCGGUGGCGAAGUGCGUUAAAGCACUGAGCUGCUGAACUUGCAGACUGAAAGGUAGGUCCCAGGUUCAAACCCCGGGAGCGGCGUGAAGGGCCGCUGUUAACUCCAGCUUCUGCCAACCUAGCAGUUCGAAAACUGCCAAUGUGAGUAGAUCAAUAGGUACCGCUCCGGCGGGAAGGUAAGGGCGCUCCAUGCAGUCAUGCCAGCCACAUGACCUUGGAGGUGUCUACGGACAACGCCGGCUCUUCGGCUUAGAAAUGGAGAUGAGCACCAACCCCCAGAGUCAGACAUGACUGGACUUAACGUCAGGGGAAACCUUUACCUUUACCUAUGCUUUUGUAAAUUGGACAAAAACAAUGAAGGCAGAGGUUGCAACCCUAUGUUCUGUCUAUUUAUGUACCAGACUGGUCCUUCAGUUCUUCCCUCUUUUUUGCUUCCUUGUUCCUGUUUUCACAGCAGUGUCCCAUUUUCCCUUUGCUCUUGGUCCACUGUGACUUGCCAUUUCCAUCUCCAAAAGGAGCAUGUGGAUCUGAGUGUCUGACUUGACAGUACUGAUUCAUGGAACAAAAACCUUUCCAGCCAGGCUGCUGGAGGCAUUAUAUGCAUUUGACACAAGGUCACACUUUUGUUUUUUCAUUUAAUUCAUAAUACUUCCAAAUACACAGCCAUUAACUUAGCCUGCAAUCACAACACUAUCUAUAUUUGUACAGUUCAAUGAUAGGGAAUCAGUUCACCACAUUUACCAUUUGUUAUGGACCACAAGUUCCUGUAUGUUGUUUGAACUUCUGGUCCAAUGCAAAGUAUAGGAUCAAUGUAGACAAACCCAAAAAGUAGUAAAAGGAAGUAAAGUGAGAUAUUGAAUUUACAUAAAUCUAAGAUGUGCAAUGAUAUGGGUGGUUGCUUGUUGUGUGCCUUCAAGUCAUUUUUCAUUUAUGAUAACUUCAUGCUGAACCUGUCACAAGGUUUUUUGGCAAGACAGGGUUUACCUUUGCUUUCCUCUGAGGCAGAGAGAGUGGGACUUGCUCAUGAUGACUCAGGGUGAAUCUACACUGCCCUAUAUCCCAGAAUCUGAUCCCAGAGUGUUUGCUUUGAAUGAAUCUAAAGGUAAAGGUUUCCCCUGAUAUUAAGUCCAGUCAUGUCUGACUCUGGGGGUUGGUGCUCAUCUCCAUUUCUAAGCCGAAGAGCCGGCGUUGUCCGUAGACACCUCCAAGGUCAUGUGGCCGGCAUGACUGCAUGGAGUGCCGUUACCUUCCCGCCAGAUCUACUCACAUUGGCCUGUUUUCGAACUGCUAGGUUGGCAG